UACAGAGGGUGCGAGCGUUGUUCGGAAUACUGGGCGUAAAGCGUGCGCAGGCGGUGAUGUAAGACAGAUGUGAAAUCCCCGGGCUCAACCUGGGAACUGCCAUGGAUACUAUAGGUCUUGAAUAUUGUUGAGGUGGGCGGAACGGGUCAUGUAGCGGUGAAAUGCAUAGAUAUGACCCGGAACACCGAUUGCGAAGGCAGCCCACUAAGCAAUGAUUGACGCUGAGGCACGAAAGCGUGGGGAUCAAACAGG
rnacentral:rRNA from 1 species